rnacentral:rRNA from 1 species
GACCAAGCGAAUAAGGGCGCAGGGUGGAUGCCUUGGCACUAAGAGCCGAAGAAAGACGUGAUAAGCUGCGAAAAGCUGCGGUGAGGAGCAAAUAUCCAUUGACCCGCAGAUAUCUGAAUGGGGAAACCCCCUUGAGAAAACCUCAAGGACUCAUAAGUGAAUCCAUAGCUUAUGAGAGGGAACCCGGUGAACUGAAACAUCUAAGUAGCCGGAGGAAGAGAAAGAAACAUCGAUUCCCAAAGUAGCGGCGAGCGAAAUGGGAAGAGCCUAAACCAGAGUGCGUGCAUUCUGGGGUUACGGACUGAAUACGACAUAUGGAUGUUAGCAGAAGUGUCCUGGGAAGGCACAUCAAAGAGGGUGAAAAUCCCGUAUGCGAAAACUUGAGAUAGUCAUCAGGAUCCAGAGUACUGCGAGACACGAGAAACCUUGCAGGAAGUCGGAGGGACCACCCUCCAAGGCUAAAUACUACUUAGUGACCGAUAGCGCAAAGUACUGUGAAGGAAAGGUGAAAAGGACCCCGGGAGGGGAGUGAAAGAGAACCUGAAACCCUGUGUCUACAAGCUGUGGAACCACGAAAGUGGAACCGCGUACUUUUUGUAGAACGGUCCGGCGAGUUGCGGAUACUGGCAAGGUUAAUCACUACAGGUGAGGAGCCGAAGGGAAACCAAGUCUUAAUAGGGCGGAUAGUCAGUAUGUGCAGACCCGAAACCGGGUGACCUAUCCAUGUCCAGGAUGAAGCUGCCGUAAAAGGCGGUGGAGGUCCGAACCCACAUCCGUUGAAAAGGGUGGGGAUGAGGUGUGGAUAGGGGAGAAAUUCCAAUCGAACCCGGAGAUAGCUGGUUCUCCCCGAAAUAGCUUUAGGGCUAGCCUCGUAUUAGUUACCUGGAGGUAGAGCACUGAAUUUUUGCGGGGGCGUCAAAGCCUACCAAUGAAUAUCAAACUCCGAAUGCCAGAGUAAUGAUGUACGGGAGUCAGACUAUACGAGAUAAGUUGGAUAGUCGAAAGGGAAACAGCCCAGACCUACAGCUAAGGUCCCAAAGUGUGUGUUAAGUGGAAAAGGAUGUGGGAUUUCGAAGACAACUAGGAUGUUGGCUCAGAAGCAGCCAUUCAUUCAAAGAGUGCGUAAUAGCUCACUAGUCGAGAGGUCCUGCGCCGAAAAUGUCCGGGGCUAAAACACAACACCGAAGCUUAGGAUGCGUAUGCAUGGUAGGGGAGCAGUCUUACUUGGGGGAAGCGUAAUCGAGAGGAUACGUGGACGAGUAAGAGGAGAGAAUGCCGGAAUGAGUAGCGAGAUGAAGGUGAGAAUCCUUCAGGCCGAAUAUCCAAGGUUUCCAGGGUAAAGCUGAUCUGCCCUGGGUAAGUCGGGACCUAAGACGAGGCCGAAAGGCGUAGCCGAUGGACAGCAGGUGGAGAUUCCUGCACUGCGUAUAUACAGAACUGUGGGGACACGGAGGCAAGGUAGAAGCCGGGAAUGGAAAGCCCGGUGCAAGCAUAGGAGCCGUAGGGAGGCAAAUCCCCCUAGGAAGGCAAUGAUGUGAUGCGGACUGAACAAUGAGUAAGGAAGUCUACGAAGCAGCCGUCGAGAAAAGCCGCUAUAGUUAUAUACGUACCCGUACCGUAAACCGACACAGGUGGAUGAGGAGAGAAUCCUAAGGCCGGCGGAAGAAGUAUUGUUAAGGAACUCGGCAAAAUGACCCCGUAACUUCGGGAGAAGGGGUGCCUCGAAAGAGGCCGCAGAGAAUUGGCCCAAGCAACUGUUUAGCAAAAACACAGGUCUAUGCGAAACCGAAAGGUGAGGUAUAUGGGCUGACGCCUGCCCGGUGCUGGAAGGUUAAGGGGAGAGGUUAGCGCAAGCGAAGCUUUGAACUUAAGCCCCAGUAAACGGCGGCCGUAACUAUAACGGUCCUAAGGUAGCGAAAUUCCUUGUCGGGUAAGUUCCGACCCGCACGAAAGGCGUAAUGAUUUGGGCACUGUCUCAACAAUACAUCCGGUGAAAUUGAAAUACCAGUGAAGAUGCUGGUUACCUGCGCCAGGACGGAAAGACCCCAUGGAGCUUUACUCUAGUUUGAUACUGGGAUUCGGUAUUGCAUGUACAGGAUAGGUGGGAGACGAAGAGAUAAGGACGCCAGUCUUUAUGGAGUCGCUGUUGGGAUACCACCCUUGUGAUACUGGAUUUCUAACCUGUGGCCGUAAUCCGGUCAGGGGACAAUGUCAGAUGGGGAGUUUGACUGGGGCGGUCGCCUCCGAAAGGGUAUCGGAGGCGCUCAAAGGUUCUCUCAGGAUGGACGGAAACCAUCCGCAGAGUGCAAAGGCAUAAGAGAGCUUGACUGCGACACCGACGGGUGGAGCAGGUACGAAAGUAGGACUUAGUGAUCCGGUGGCAUAAAGUGGGAUUGCCAUCGCUCAACGGAUAAAAGCUACCCUGGGGAUAACAGGCUUAUCACUCCCAAGAGUUCACAUCGACGGAGUGGUUUGGCACCUCGAUGUCGGCUCAUCGCAUCCUGGGGCUGUAGCAGGUCCCAAGGGUUGGGCUGUUCGCCCAUUAAAGCGGUACGCGAGCUGGGUUCAGAACGUCGUGAGACAGUUCGGUCCCUAUCCGGCGCGGGCGUAGGAUAUCUGAGAGGAGCUGUCCUUAGUACGAGAGGACCGGGAUGGACGAACCGCCGGUGCAUCGGUUGUCACACCAGUGGCAUGGCCGAGUAGCUGUGUUCGGACGGGAUAAACGCUGAAGGCAUCUAAGCGUGAAGCCCCCCUCAAGAUGAGAUAUCCCAAGACCCCUUGAAGACGACGAGGUAGAUAGGUUAGAGGUGGAAGU